rnacentral:rRNA from 1 species
GAUGAACGCUGGCGGCGUGCCUAAUACAUGCAAGUCGAGCGAACGGACGAGAAGCUUGCUUCUCUGAUGUUAGCGGCGGACGGGUGAGUAACACGUGGAUAACCUACCUAUAAGACUGGGAUAACUUCGGGAAACCGGAGCUAAUACCGGAUAAUAUUUUGAACCGCAUGGUUCAAAAGUGAAAGACGGUCUUGCUGUCACUUAUAGAUGGAUCCGCGCUGCAUUAGCUAGUUGGUAAGGUAACGGCUUACCAAGGCAACGAUGCAUAGCCGACCUGAGAGGGUGAUCGGCCACACUGGAACUGAGACACGGUCCAGACUCCUACGGGAGGCAGCAGUAGGGAAUCUUCCGCAAUGGGCGAAAGCCUGACGGAACAACGCCGCGUGAGUGAUGAAGGUCUUCGGAUCGUAAAACUCUGUUAUUGGGGAAGAACAUAUGUGUAAGUAACUGUGCACAUCUUGACGGUACCUAAUCAGAAAGCCACGGCUAACUACGUG